AUUCCAGCUCCAAUAGCGUAUAUUAAAGUUGUUGCAGUUAAAAAGCUCGUAGUUGGAUUUCUGGUGGGAGCGUUGGGCCGGCCCUAAGGGUCUGAGCUCAAAUGUUUUCCGCCAUCCUUGGAGGGAUGUUGUCUGGCAUUAAGUUGUCGGGCUUCCGAUCUCCAUCGUUUACUGUGAAAAAAUUAGAGUGUUCAAAGCAGGCUUAUGCCGUUGAAUACAUUAGCAUGGAAUAAUAAGAUAGGACCUUGGUACUAUUUUGUUGGUUUGCGUACCUAGGUAAUGAUUAAUAGGGACAGUUGGGGAUAUUACUAUUUCGUUGUCAGAGGUGAAAUUCUUGGAUUUACGAAAGAGUAACUACUGCGAAAGCAUUUAUCAAGGAUGUUUUCAUCA
rnacentral:rRNA from 1 species